GGAUAGGAAAGGAAAAGGUCAAGGAAUAAAAGUUCUCUCUUUUGUGGAACUUAUCACAGUGUAAAAAAAAAAUGGUAAGGAGGGAUUAGUUGUCCCUUUGAAUCCCAUUUGUCAAUCCCAAUAAAAUUGAGGGAAUAAGAGUCAUUCCUUCCUCAACAUUAAAAUAUCUUUUAAAUAUUACUACUCUACCCUUAAAAUCCUUUCCUAUCCUUGAAACUUCCAAACAUGAGA
rnacentral:misc_RNA from 1 species